rnacentral:rRNA from 1 species
GAUGAACGCUGGCGGCGUGCCUAAUACAUGCAAGUCGAGCGAACGGACGAGAAGCUUGCUUCUCUGAUGUUAGCGGCGGACGGGUGAGUAACACGUGGAUAACCUACCUAUAAGACUGGGAUAACUUCGGGAAACCGUAGCUAAUACCGGAUAAUAUUUUGAACCGCAUGGUUCAAAAGUGAAAGACGGUCUUGCUGUCACUUAUAGGUGGAUCCGCGCUGCAUUAGCUAGUUGGUAAGGUAACGGCUUACCAAGGCAACGAUGCAUAGCCGACCUGAGAGGGUGAUCGGCCACACUGGAACUGAGACACGGUCCAGACUCCUACGGGAGGCAGCAGUAGGGAAUCUUCCGCAAUGGGCGAAAGCCUGACGGAGCAACGCCGCGUGAGUGAUGAAGGGCUUCGGAUCGUAAAACUCUGUUAUUAGGGAAGAACAUAUGUGUAAGUAACUGUGCACAUCUUGACGGUACCUAUCAGAAAGCCACGGCUAACUACGUG